AGCCAUUUGACUGUACCAACUCCCAGCUGGAGAUUUCUGGGGUUCCCUCAGAGCAAGAACAAGCCAGGUUUAUGAACUGCAGAGCACCUAACACAAUAAAGUGUCUCAGUUGCUUUAAGAUAGAAUAAAUUUGGAUGCUUAUUGUACAAAUAUUUUGGAAGACUGGACUUCUAAAAAUAAAGGCUUGAUUCUCUUAAAUAUCCUCUUACUUUAGGUAAGCA